UACGGGGGGGGCAAGCGUUGUUCGGAAUUACUGGGCGUAAAGGGCUCGUAGGCGGCCAACUAAGUCAGACGUGAAAUCCCUCGGCUUAACCGGGGAACUGCGUCUGAUACUGGAUGGCUUGAGUGUGGGAGAGGGAUGCGGAAUUCCAGGUGUAGCGGUGAAAUGCGUAGAUAUCUGGAGGAACACCGGUGGCGAAGGCGGCAUCCUGGACCACGACUGACGCUGAGGAGCGAAAGCCAGGGGAGCAAAGCGGG
rnacentral:rRNA from 1 species